rnacentral:other from 1 species
AUAAGCCUGUGGUGUACGCAUACUCAGAUAAUUCAACCGACAUAUCAGACAUGGGAGUCUGCGUUUAGUGAAAUAUAACAUGCCCCUUUGAGGGGACGUUAGAAAGCACUAACAGGAAACCCCCCUUUAAGUAGGCGGGUGUGAAUUAGAUGAGAAAACGGCAUCGUGGGUUUUAA